GGGGUAGUGAGCCUUGAUAUAGAGAGUUGAUGGUCAAAUUUUCGAAAUCGCUAAUAUAUCAUGCAGUCAUUUAUGGGAUGUGAUAUAGUCGUCAUUGCAGGUAGGCAUCGAAAAGGAAGUUGACAUUAGAAAGCAAGAUCAAAACAUGAUUGUAGUUCAAAACUAUAUGUCCAAUUUUUUUACAUAUUUGAUAGAUAGACC
rnacentral:lncRNA from 1 species